GAUGAACGCUGGCGGCGUGCCUAAUACAUGCAAGUAGAACGCUGAAGGAGGAGCUUGCUCUUCUGGAUGAGUUGCGAACGGGUGAGUAACGCGUAGGUAACCUGCCUGGUAGCGGGGGAUAACUCUUGGAAACGCUAGCUAAUACCGCAUGACAACAGUUAUUGCAUGAUAACUGUUUAUAAGGGGCAACUGCUCCACUACCAGAUGGACCUGCGUUGUAUUAGCUAGUUGGUGAGGUAACGGCUCACCAAGGCGACGAUACAUAGCCGACCUGGGAGGGGUAUCGGCCACACUGGGACUGAGACACGGCCCAGACUCCUACGGGAGGCAGCAGUAGGGGAUCUUCGGCAAUUGACGGAAGGCUGACCGGACAACGCCGCGGGAGGUAAGAAGGUUUUCGGAUCGUAAAGCUCUGUUGUAAGGGAAGAACGAGUGUGGGAGUGGAAAGUGCACACUGUGACGGUAUCUUACCAGAAAGGGACGGCUAACUACGUG
rnacentral:rRNA from 1 species